CUUGCAUGUAGGGGAAAUAACUGUUUUGUUUAUAAUUUCAUCGUCUUUUAUUCUUAUUUUCUUUUGAAGUUUAAGAAACCAGAUUGGAAAUUUUUAUUCAGAAAUGCAAUCCACACAUUUAAGCACCGUUUGUCUAACGUACCAGCCAGCUAUGGUAGCCUCCGCAGAUAGAUCAAAGACACAUAUACCCGGGCAAGUUAAAUAGAAGCACUUCCGGCGGUGGACAGUCGUAAAACAACACCUUAACUACUAAGAAGUGACAUCACGCCGAUAGCAAUAAGGCUACGUCUACUUGAUUUGACUUACAGUGUCACUUGACCUCUUUGUAAGGGGUUCCGAUAAGUACGCAGAAGCAGACGAUAAUAAUACAAACGUUAUACUUGACAAUCAGAUUAAAAAAAUGCAUGGGACAUGGUAAAACAUAGCAAUAAAAGCAAGUAUAGCAUUAAAUAAGUUCGUUAUUGUUAUUUAGUGUAUGCAAUGUAUGAUUCAGGUAGAAAUACUUUCUAAACUUUAAAAUAAUUUAUUUCUGAUUAUCAUCGGAAGUUUGUUACAGUAUUAUAACCAUCUCUAUUUCAAAACUCCAAAUUAGGGAAACAAAACAUGUAUUAAUUUCUUUACGAAAGUCAGCAAAAAUCGACGUUUGUUUAGAUCCAUUGUCAAAACUCAAUGAAUUUCGCUGUUAUUCUUCCUUUCUCCAUUAAGAUUCACCUGUUUUAUACAAGUGUAAUGAAUAUAAUUAUUGAUAUUACUACCUUAAUGCUUCUCUCAAUAUAUUAGUGUCCGUAUUAAAUGAAAUGCAACACUGUUCUAACAAGCGGCAAAGAAGUUCGAAAUGACCUUAGUCAUUAUAAAUGAACAGGUUUUUACUUUGAUUUGCGUCAUUUACAAAGAUGAUCUUGUUUUAUCUAUAAUACACGAAUAUACUUUUUGUGACCUUUAGUUUCAUGAUGUCAGCUUUUUUAUCAAAUAUAAUAACACAUGUAACUCGAAUCAACUCAGUUGUCUUUUUCACUACUAUGUCCAAACAAGCUUAAAAGCAAAUGUAUAUGCUUCGGAUUUAAAACUUUACGCACAAGAAGGAGACACAUUUAAAAAUAAAUAUAAAUCGCAAGAUAUAGUGAAUAUUAUACAGUAAUAAUCAUUAUGAUAUUUCUUGUUUUAUGACUAACGGAAAAUAUACGUAUACUAUGUACGGUUACAUUAAGACAUUUGGAGGGUUGAAAUAGUCUA